rnacentral:rRNA from 1 species
UACGUAGGGGGCUAGCGUUGUCCGGAAUCAUUGGGCGUAAAGAGCGUGUAGGCGGCCCGGUAAGUCCGCUGUAAAAGUCCAAGGCUCAACCUUUGAAUGUCAGUGGAUACUGCCGGGCUAGAGUCCGGAAGAGGCGAGUGGAACUCCUGGUGUAGCGGUGGAAUGCGCAGAUAUCAGGAGGAACACCGGUGGCGAAGGCGGGUCUCUGGGCAGUAACUGACGCUGAGGAGCGAAAGCGUGGGGAGCGAACAGG